rnacentral:lncRNA from 1 species
ACUUCCCACAGAGUUCCCAGCAGGAGGUGGCAGGUUGACACUGCAAAAUCUGAAAAUGGCUCACUAUGCAGAGACAGUGCAGGGCAGGAGUGGAGUCCGAUCUCCAGAACCAGGCUUGAAUUCUGACACUGGGACAUCCUUGCUAUGUGACUCCGACCAAUUCACUUGACCUCUCUGGACUUGGCAUAAGAAGGGGAGAAUAGAAAUAUCUGUCACAUGGGGUUGCUGUAAGGAUUGAAGUGUGCCUAUCACUAUUCAAUAUUCAAUACAUAUUAGUUUUUACUAAUCUAAAAAAUAAAAUGUAAAAAUAAGAAAGGGAGAAAA